rnacentral:rRNA from 1 species
UAAGGAAUAUUGGACAAUGGACGGAAGUCUGAUCCAGCCAUGCCGCGUGCAGGAAGAAGGUCUUCGGAUUGUAAAGCUCUUUUGGCGGGGACGAUAAUGACGGUACCCGCAGAAUAAGCCCCGGCUAACUUCGUGCCAGCAGCCGCGGUAAUACGAAGGGGGCUAGCGUUGUUCGGAAUUACUGGGCGUAAAGCGCACGUAGGCGGAUUUGUAAGUCAGGGUGAAAUCCCGGGGCUCAACCUCGGAACUGCCCUUGAUACUGCAAAUCUCGAGUCCGAUAGAGGUGAGUGGAAUUCCUAGUGUAGAGGUGAAAUUCGUAGAUAUUAGGAAGAACACCAGUGGCGAAGGCGGCUCACUGGAUCGGUACUGACGCUGAGGUGCGAAAGCGUGGGGAGCAAACAGGAUUAGAUACCCAUGUAGUCCCUGAGCGGGCUGGCAAGGCGCAU